GAGAAGCCUGACAGUGGUAUGAAAUGGAGGAGAUUCCUUUCAACAGGAGUUACCCGAACAAAGUUGGCAGAGGAAGAUGCUACUGAUGGACUCUUGUUGCCUGUUUCACACUCCAUGGCCCCUACAGAAAAGCUGUUUGGGAUUCAACAGCACCAUCAGCAGGCAUAAUGGGCACUUACUUCUGAGGCGGACAUCUACUUAAGAAGAUGGAACCCAGUGGACCUUCAAUAAAACACCCAAAUGGAGGCAGUUCCUUACGCGAUGUGAUAGAAACUUGAAGGUCUUUGGAGAACAGGAAAAUUGGUGAAGAAAGGAAAGUGCUGCUGAAGAGCCAAUCUGCAUAAUCAGCUGAGUCAAGAUGCUCAGACUCCAUAAUUGAGCUAAAAGGAAAAGUGUAACACUGCUCUGUAUCUAAUCUCCCUCAAACUCCUUAAAGUUCCGACAAUCUGCUGUGUAUUGUAUUCUGUGACCUUACCUUUCCUCUUUAAUUUUCACUAUGGAAUUGAUUCAAAAAUGUUCUUUAAAUGAGGGUCAUUUGGGAGAGAAUUUUACCAUGUUCCUCGCGGUAACAGAAGAC